rnacentral:rRNA from 1 species
GAAUGCUGACAUAAGUAACGAUAAAGCGGGUGAAAAGCCCGCUCGCCGGAAGACCAAGGGUUCCUGUCCAACGUUAAUCGGGGCAGGGUGAGUCGACCCCUAAGGCGAGGCCGAAAGGCGUAGUCGAUGGGAAACAGGUUAAUAUUCCUGUACUUGGUGUUACUGCGAAGGGGGGACGGAGAAGGCUAUGUUGGCCGGGCGACGGUUGUCCCGGUUUAAGCGUGUAGGCUGGUUUUCCAGGCAAAUCCGGAAAAUCAAGGCUGAGGCGUGAUGACGAGGCACUACGGUGCUGAAGCAACAAAUGCCCUGCUUCCAGGAAAAGCCUCUAAGCAUCAGGUAACAUCAAAUCGUACCCCAAACCGACACAGGUGGUCAGGUAGAGAAUACCAAGGCGCUUGAGAGAACUCGGGUGAAGGAACUAGGCAAAAUGGUGCCGUAACUUCGGGAGAAGGCACGCUGAUAUGUAGGUGAAGCGACUUGCUCGUGGAGCUGAAAUCAGUCGAAGAUACCAGCUGGCUGCAACUGUUUAUUAAAAACACAGCACUGUGCAAACACGAAAGUGGACGUAUACGGUGUGACGCCUGCCCGGUGCCGGAAGGUUAAUUGAUGGGGUUAGCGGUAACGCGAAGCUCUUGAUCGAAGCCCCGGUAAACGGCGGCCGUAACUAUAACGGUCCUAAGGUAGCGAAAUUCCUUGUCGGGUAAGUUCCGACCUGCACGAAUGGCGUAAUGAUGGCCAGGCUGUCUCCACCCGAGACUCAGUGAAAUUGAACUCGCUGUGAAGAUGCAGUGUACCCGCGGCAAGACGGAAAGACCCCGUGAACCUUUACUAUAGCUUGACACUGAACAUUGAGCCUUGAUGUGUAGGAUAGGUGGGAGGCUUUGAAGUGUGGACGCCAGUCUGCAUGGAGCCGACCUUGAAAUACCACCCUUUAAUGUUUGAUGUUCUAACGUUGGCCCGUUAUCCGGGUUGCGGACAGUGUCUGGUGGGUAGUUUGACUGGGGCGGUCUCCUCCUAAAGAGUAACGGAGGAGCACGAAGGUUGGCUAAUCCUGGUCGGACAUCAGGAGGUUAGUGCAAUGGCAUAAGCCAGCUUGACUGCGAGCGUGACGGCGCGAGCAGGUGCGAAAGCAGGUCAUAGUGAUCCGGUGGUUCUGAAUGGAAGGGCCAUCGCUCAACGGAUAAAAGGUACUCCGGGGAUAACAGGCUGAUACCGCCCAAGAGUUCAUAUCGACGGCGGUGUUUGGCACCUCGAUGUCGGCUCAUCACAUCCUGGGGCUGAAGUAGGUCCCAAGGGUAUGGCUGUUCGCCAUUUAAAGUGGUACGCGAGCUGGGUUUAGAACGUCGUGAGACAGUUCGGUCCCUAUCUGCCGUGGGCGCUGGAGAACUGAGGGGGGCUGCUCCUAGUACGAGAGGACCGGAGUGGACGCAUCACUGGUGUUCGGGUUGUCAUGCCAAUGGCACUGCCCGGUAGCUAAAUGCGGAAGAGAUAAGUGCUGAAAGCAUCUAAGCACGAAACUUGCCCCG